rnacentral:rRNA from 1 species
AUUGAACGCUGGCGGCAGGCCUAACACAUGCAAGUCGAGCGGUAGAGAGAAGCUUGCUUCUCUUGAGAGCGGCGGACGGGUGAGUAAUGCCUAGGAUCUGCCUGGUAGUGGGGAUAACGUUCGGAAACGAACGCUAAUACCGCAUACGUCCUACGGGAGAAAGCAGGGGGACCCUUCGGGCCUUGCGCUAUCAGGAUGAGCCUAGGUCGGAUUAGCUAGUUGGUGAGGUAAUGGCUCACCAAGGCGACGAUCCGUAACUGGUCUGAGAGGAUGAUCAGUCACACUGGAACUGG